AUUGAACGCUGGCGGCAGGCCUAACACAUGCAAGUCGAACGGUAACAGGAAGCAGCUUGCUGCUUUGCUGACGAGUGGCGGACGGGUGAAUAAUGUCUGGGAAACUGCCCGAUGGAGGGGGAUAACUACUGGAAACGGUAGCUAAUACCGCAUAACGUCGCAAGACCAAAGAGGGGGACCUUAGGGCCUCUUGCCAUCGGAUGUGCCCAGAUGGGAUUAGCUAGUAGGUGGGGUAACGGCUCACCUAGGCGACGAUCCCUAGCUGGUCUGAGAGGAUGACCAGCCACACUGGAACUGAGACACGGUCUAGACUCCUACGGGAGGCAGCAGUGGGGAAUAUUGCACAAUGGGCGCAAGCCUGAUGCAGCCAUGCCGCGUGUAUGAAGAAGGCCUUCGGGUUGUAAAGUACUUUCAGCGGGGAGGAAGGGAGUAAAGUUAAUACCUUUGCUCAUUGACGUUACCCGCAGAAGAAGCACCGGCUAACUCCGUG
rnacentral:rRNA from 1 species